rnacentral:lncRNA from 1 species
AGUAACCAACAAGCAAAGAAGAGAAUCAAGCUUAAACCCUUGAUUCCUAGUAGAGAGAGAAAUUCCUAGAGAGAGAGGGAGUGAGAGAGAAGCCAAACCCUACUCUUGAACUCCCAGCACCCUUGGGUAGCUUCAGGAGUCGAGCUGAGACUUAAGAGGAUAAGCACAAGAGCCCAAAAGACCAAAUGACCCCUGCUGCCACGCACCUGCUGACUUU